UCAAAUGACAGUUAUUUUAUGGCAAUUAUGAUAUUCCAGUGUGCCAGUAAGACAUUUGUCGUUUGUUUCUCUUUUAGUAUUAUAUCGAAAAGGUGAUUGCAGGGUAUUCAGAUCCUGGAGUGAUGUGAAAUGGCCCUGACCUUGGGCAAUUAAGUAAUAUAUGAGUGGUGUAAAAUAGGAAAUUUUUUAUUCAUUCUGAUUGACUAAUAAAAUUAGAAUGGUGAGAAUAAUGAUUAGGGGUACACCGGAUUUCAAAUCCGGCCGGAAUUCCGGCCGGAUUUAACGAAUUUUCUGGCAUCCGGCUUCCGGCCGGAUUUGGAGAAAAUCCGGCCGGAUUUAAAUUUCUGUUUUCACCUUAAAAAAUUCACCAACAAUGGGAUAAACCAUCAAUUUGGCAGCUUUAAAGUUUAA
rnacentral:lncRNA from 1 species